rnacentral:sRNA from 1 species
UUUUUUUGAAUACCAGAAAGUUCUGGGCCAAAGCCCGUAAUCCUCCUAGGCCCGAAACCACAACAUGUAGUAUUAGAUUCGUCCCAAGCGUCACUCGAACCGGCAACAUUACUUAACUAAAGUCACCUUCUUUUUCUUUUGUUUGAUGGCUUUAACGAUCUCGACAGGUAUAAUUCCAUAUCCCUAUGGCUCAAUGGAGAUGGAAGGUGAUAUAUCUCUAUUGAGAGUUUCGUACUCAACACGCACGUCCUUUACGAGCACAUCUAUUAUUUUAAACUAGACUGUGAUUUCAUUUCAGAUAUAUACACUACAAUACUGAGAACUUGGUAAAGGACAAGCAAAAGAUAAUCAGUGGAUAAAGCUGUAAUAGAUUUCUUCUUCCUACUCUAAUAAGUAAUAAUAGCAACACUAGUCAACAAAAACAUAUUUUGAUAAUCAUUGGAUAAAGCUAUAAUGGAUCUACGCUCAUUAGAACCGCCAAUCUACUCGGCAUUUUUAUAACCUAAACAAGCUAUAAAAAAUGCAAUGUGAAUUUUCUUCCUUAUGAUUCUGUCAACUUUGGUUCAAUUAUAAGUAAUCUAAAACAGAACAUUGGUUCUGUAAUAUGAGUAUGAGAAGAUGACUGAAGAACCUGUCUGCUUAUCUCCAUAUUGACAGAAUCAUAAUACAGUGAUAGCUUUAUAGUUAUGAAUUUACAUAACCACAAAAGAUUUAUAUGAUUUAUACCUAUCAGCUACGAAUGGUAAAAGGUAACAACUUAAUGGGUUCUGCAAUUAGUUCAAGUUCUAGCAAAGCUUUUAGAGCAUCUCCAACCGGACUGCAAAACACCAAAUAUAGUGUUAAUAAUGCUCUAACCGAACGGUAUAACCAACACCAAAUUUAUUUUUUUAGUGUUUUGUGAACAGUAUUACACCAACAAAACACUUAAAAA